rnacentral:rRNA from 1 species
CGGGACUCAUCCGAGGCCCCGUAAUCGGAAUGAGUACACUUUAAAUCCUUUAACGAGGACCAAUUGGAGGGCAAGUCUGGUGCCAGCAGCCGCGGUAAUUCCAGCUCCAAUAGCGUAUAUUAAAGUUGUUGCGGUUAAAAAGCUCGUAGUUGAAUCUGUGUGUCACAGUGUCGGUUCACCGCUCGCGGUGUUUAACUGGCAUUAUGUGGUACGUCCUAUCGGUGGGCUUAGCUCCUCGCGGGCGGUCCAACUAAUAUCCCAUCGCGGUGCUCUUCACUGAGUGUCGAGGUGGGCCGAUACGUUUACUUUGAACAAAUUAGAGUGCUUAAAGCAGGCUACCCUCGCCUGAAUACUGUGUGCAUGGAAUAAUGGAAUAGGACCUCGGUUCUAUUUUGUUGGUUUUCGGAACCCCGAGGUAAUGAUUAAUAGGGACAGAUGGGGGCAUUCGUAUUGCGACGUUAGAGGUGAAAUUCUUGGAUCGUCGCAAGACGGACAGAAGCGAAAGCAUUUGCCAAAAAUGUUUUCAUUAAUCAAGAACGAAAGUUAGAGGUUCGAAGGCGAUCAGAUACCGCCCUAGUUCUAACCAUAAACGAUGCCAGCCAGCGAUCCGCCGAAGUUCCUCCGAUGACUCGGCGGGCAGCUUCCGGGAAACCAAAGCUUUUGGGUUCCGGGGGAAGUAUGGUUGCAAAGCUGAAACUUAAAGGAAUUGACGGAAGGGCACCACCAGGA